rnacentral:tRNA from 1 species
GGGCCUCUAGCUCAAUUGGCAGAGCAGCUGACUUUUAAUCAGCGGGUUGUGGGUUCGAGUCCCACGGGGCCCA